rnacentral:rRNA from 1 species
AGAGUUUGAUCCUGGCUCAGGAUGAACGCUGGCGGCGUGCCUAACACAUGCAAGUCGAGCGAUUCUCUUCGGAGAAGAGCGGCGGACGGGUGGGUAACGCGUGGGUAACUGCCCUGUACACACGGAUAACAUACCGAAAGGUAUGCUAAUACGAGAUAAUAUGCUUUUAUCGCAUGGUAGAAGUAUCAAAGCUUUUGCGGUACAGGAUGGACCCGCGUCUGAUUAGCUAGUUGGUAAGGUAACGGCUUACCAAGGCGACGAUCAGUAGCCGACCUGAGAGGGUGAUCGGCCACAUUGGAACUGAGACACGGUCCAAACUCCUACGGGAGGCAGCAGUGGGGAAUACUGCACAAUGGGCGAAAGCCUGAUGCAGCAACGCCGCGUGAGCGAUGAAGGCCUUCGGGUCGUAAAGCUCUGUCCUCAAGGAAGAUAAUGACGGUACUUGAGGAGGAAGCCCCGGCUAACUACGUGCCAACAGCCGCGGUAAUACGUAGGGGGCUAGCGUUAUCCGGAAUUACUGGGCGUAAAGGGUGCGUAGGUGGUUUCUUAAGUCAGAGGUGAAAGGCUACGGCUCAACCGUAGUAAGCCUUUGAAACUGGGAAACUUGAGUGCAGGAGAGGAGAGUGGAAUUCCUAGUGUAGCGGUGAAAUGCGUAGAUAUUAGGAGGAACACCAGUUGCGAAGGCGGCUCUCUGGACUGUAACUGACACUGAGGCACGAAAGCGUGGGGAGCAAACAGGAUUAGAUACCCUGGUAGUCCACGCCGUAAACGAUGAGUACUAGCUGUCGGAGGUUACCCCCUUCGGUGGCGCAGCUAACGCAUUAAGUACUCCGCCUGGGAAGUACGCUCGCAAGAGUGAAACUCAAAGGAAUUGACGG